ACGGAAGGCAGCAGUGAGGAAUAUUGGUCAAUGGGCGAGAGCCUGAACCAGCCAAGUCGCGUGAAGGAUGAAGGUUCUAUGGAUUGUAAACUUCUUUUGUUCGAGGGUAAAGUGAGGGAUGCGUCCCUUAUUGCAAGUAUCGAACGAAUAAGCAUCGGCUAACUCCGUGCCAGCAGCCGCGGUAAUACGGAGGAUGCGAGCGUUAUCCGGAUUUAUUGGGUUUAAAGGGUGCGUAGGCGGGAUGUUAAGUCAGCGGUGAAGGCGUGUAGCUCAACUAUACCAAGCCGUUGAAACUGGCGUUCUUGAGUGUAAACGAGGUAGGCGGAAUGUGACGUGUAGCGGUGAAAUGCUUAGAUAUGUCACAGAACCCCGAUUGCGAAGGCAGCUUACCAGCAUACAACUGACGCUGAGGCACGAAAGUGCGGGGAUCAAACAGGAUUAGAUACCCUGGUA
rnacentral:rRNA from 1 species